UCGUGCUAGAUGGGGAGGUAGCGGUGCCCUGAACCUGCAACCCGCUGUAGCAGGGUCGAAUUCCUGUCCCCGGCCCUGGAUUUUAGGGUCUGACCCGGGUAAGUGGUGUUGACGGCCGGGUCCCGUGCGGCGUAAGUUUGUAAACCCCGUCAGGUCCGGAAGGAAGCAGCGGUAAGCAAGUUCUUGCGGGUGCCACGGGGCAGCCUGGCUUGAGCUAACUGCCAGGGUAACGCCUGGGAAAAAGGGUCAAAGGCAGGUGCACGA
rnacentral:SRP_RNA from 2 species